AGGGGAUGGAGAGAUGGCUCAGAGGUUAAG
rnacentral:piRNA from 1 species